rnacentral:rRNA from 1 species
CCUACGGGUGGCAGCAGUGGGGAAUAUUGCACAAUGGGGGAAACCCUGAUGCAGCAACGCCGCGUGAGUGAGGAAGUAUUUCGGUAUGUAAAGCUCUAUCAGCAGGGAAUAGAAAAGAAGGUACCUGAAAAAGAAGCCCCGGCUAUGUAUGUGCCAGCAGCCGCGGUAAUACGCAGGGGGCAAGCGUUAUCCGGAUUUACUGGGUGUAAAGGGAGCGUAGACGGAAAGGGAAGUCAGAAGUGAAACCCCACGGCUCAACCAUGGGACUGCAUUUGAAAUUGGCAAACUAGAGUACGGGAGAGGUAAGAGGAAGUCCAAGUGUAGCGGUGAAAUGCGUAGAUAUUAGGAGGAACACCAGUGGCGAAGGCGUCUUACUGGACCGAAACUGACGUUGAGGCUCGAAAGCGUGGGGAGCAAACAGGAUUAGAUACCCUAGUAGUC